rnacentral:rRNA from 1 species
GAUGAACGCUGGCGGCGUGCCUAAUACAUGCAAGUCGAGCGAACAGAUAAGGAGCUUGCUCCUUUGACGUUAGCGGCGGACGGGUGAGUAACACGUGGGUAACCUACCUAUAAGACUGGGAUAACUUCGGGAAACCGGAGCUAAUACCGGAUAACAUUUGGAACCGCAUGGUUCUAAAGUGAAAGAUGGUUUUGCUAUCACUUAUAGAUGGACCCGCGCCGUAUUAGCUAGUUGGUAAGGUAACGGCUUACCAAGGCAACGAUACGUAGCCGACCUGAGAGGGUGAUAGGCCACACUGGAAGUGAGACACGGUCCAGACUCCUACGGGAGGCAGCAGUAGGGAAUCUUCCGCAAUGGGCGAAAGCCUGACGGAGCAACGCCGCGUGAGUGAUGAAGGGUUUCGGCUCGUAAAACUCUGUUAUUAGGGAAGAACAAACGUGUAAGUAACUGUGCACGUCUUGACGGUACCUAAUCAGAAAGCCACGGCUAACUACGUG